rnacentral:rRNA from 1 species
AACGAACGCUGGCGGCACGUUUUAAGCAUGCAAGUCGAAUGGCAGCAGGGGCAACUCUGUGAGAAUGGCGAACGGGUGAGUAACACGUAGGUGAUCUGCCUUGAGGAUGGGGAUAGCCUGUGGAAACACAGGGUAAUACCGAAUGAGCUGACGAGACUUUGGUUUUGUUAGUAAAGGUGCUACGGCACCGCCUUGAGAGGAGCCUGCGGCUGAUUAGCUAGUUGGUGGGGUAAGAGCUUACCAAGGCGACGAUCAGUAGCCGGCCUGAGAGGGUGUACGGCCACACUGGAACUGAGACACGGUCCAGACUCCUACGGGAGGCAGCAGCUAAGAAUCUUCCGCAAUGGGCGAAAGCCUGACGGAGCGAUGCCGCGUGAUCGAUGAAGGUCGAGAGAUUGUAAAGAUCUUUUCUACAUGAGGAAUAAGUCUGGGAGGGAAUGCCCGGAUGAUGACGUUAGUGUAGGAAUAAGCCCCGGCUAAUUACGUGCCAGCAGCCGCCGCAG